AGCAGCCGCGGUAAUUCCAGCUCCAAUAGCGUAUAUUAAAGUUGUUGCAGUUAAAAAGCUCGUAGUUGAAUUUCGGGGUCAGUAGGUUGGUCAUGCCACUGGUAUGUACUGGUCUCACUGAUUCCUCCUUCCUGAUGAACUGUAAUGCCAUUAAUUUGGUGUUGCAGGGAAUCUGGACUGUUACUUUGAAAAAAUUAGAGUGUUUAAAGCAGGCUAACGCCUGAAUACAUUAGCAUGGAAUAAUGAAAUAGGACGUUCGAUCCUAUUUUGUUGGUUUCUAGGAUUGACGUAAUGAUUAAUAGGGAUAGUUGGGGGCAUUAGUAUUCAAUUGUCAGAGGUGAAAUUCUUGGAUUUAUUGAGGACUAACUACUGCGAAAGCAUUUGCCAAGGAUGUUUUCAUUAAUCAAGAACGAAAGUUAGGGAUCGAAGACGAUCAGAUACCGUCGUAGUCUUAACCAUAAACUAUGCCGACUAGGGAUCGGAUGAUGUUAAUUUUUAUGUACUCAUUCGGUA
rnacentral:rRNA from 1 species